UGUACUGUACAAACGAGAAAGAAGAGUGACAUUUAACAAACAGUGAGUGGCUGUACUGAAAAAAAAAAUACACAUCGAUCUGGUACAACAAAAGUAAGGAUUGUCUUCGAAAACAUGAACGCCCAAUUUUAAUUAUUUAUGAGUAAUUAAAAUGAUUAGUCACCUUUCAUAACCAAAAGAUCCAUAGCCUUUAAAAAUCAUUAAACAAUACUGUGAAUUUAAGAAAAGGAUGUUAAGAAUAGAUGAAAUUUGGUACUGAUCGAAUUUGGGAACAAAACAUUUUUUCACAACAUGAUUUUACAUGUCUUAAGAAACGGGAAAAGUACUGCAUAUCUGGUCCUUCCAACAUUGAAGGGAAAAUAAUUAAAAAUACAGAUAGCGUUGUGAUGAUAAGUACAAAUAUUCAUGUCUACCAAUCUAUAGUGAUAGAAAAUAAUUUAAGAAAAUGAAGUUAAAAGUACCAAUGGAAUAGCUAGGCAGAAGCUACCCACUCUCACCCUUAUGGACUAGUUCCCUCAUUAUUCUAAAAUUCAAAAAUUCUAAGUUUCCGAGAUUUUAACAUCAAAAAUUAUCAAAUUUUCAGAUUAUAAAAUUCUACGGUUUCAAAACCUUGAGAUUCUAGGAUUUUAAGGCUCUCGUAAAAGCGUAAGUUAAACGAAAUGCAAAAGUUAAACGCUUGACACUGUUAAUAAAGCUAAAGGAGCAGGCUCACCCCAUCCAAAAUUCCUAGUUACACCAAUGUAAUCUAGUAUGCAGGGAAUUUAUACUUUGUAGAAGACAAUGUACAAUUAAUCUUGUUAGCAUGUAGGAUUUACUGUACAUACGAACUAUGUCAGCGAAAUGAACUUUGAAAUUGCAACAGCGA